rnacentral:rRNA from 1 species
UACAGAGGUCUCAAGCGUUGUUCGGAUUCAUUGGGCGUAAAGGGUGCGUAGGUGGUCCGUUACGUUCGUUGUGAAAUCCCUGGGCUCAACCCAGGAAAUGCUUCGAAUACUGGCGGACUUGAGGCUAGUAGAGGUCACUGGAACUGACGGUGGAGCGGUGAAAUGCGUAGAUAUCGUCAGGAACACCGGUGGCGAAAGCGGCUUACUGGAUCUCUUCUGACGCUGAGGCACGAAAGCUAGGGUAGCGAACGGG